rnacentral:rRNA from 1 species
UACGUAGGGUGCGAGCGUUAAUCGGAAUUACUGGGCGUAAAGCGUGCGCAGGCGGUUUUGUAAGCCAGAUGUGAAAUCCCCCGGGCUUAACCUGGGAAUGGCAUUUGGGACUGCAAGGCUUGAGUGCGGCAGAGGAGACUGGAAUUCCUGGUGUAGCAGUGAAAUGCGUAGAUAUCUGGAGGAACACCGGUGGCGAAGGCGG